AGUCUGAUGCGUUGGAAUUGGCAACACAAGAUGGUUAUAAGGACAUCGUGGAAAUGUUGCUAAAGAAUGGCGCGGACCCGAAUAAGUCUGGUGCGUUGGGAUGGGCAGCAAGUCUUGGUCAUCAGGACAUCGUGGAAGUGUUGCUAAAGAAUGGCGCGGACCCGAAUAUCCAUGAUGAUGCAUCAUCGAUCAACAAAAAGAUGGCUAAGUUCAUCGGAAAUAAGAAAG